AUUUAAUAUCAAUUCUCGUGUCAAAAUUGCAUUACAUAGUCAUACACGUGAAAAUUUAUCGAACUCUUUUAACAUUGUUUUUCUUUGUAUGCAAAUAUAAUUUAUUAAACCCUUCUUGUUUUAUUUCAUACUAUAACAAAUGUUUUUUUUUUCUUUCUAAAAUAAUGAAACUCACGGUAAAUGAUGAAUUGUGUUAGUGGUUAUGAUAUUAUUUUUUUUUCGAACAAACGAUAUUAUCUACACUAAGAGGAUGGGAGAUGGGCAAAACCUCACAACAUGCUAGCAAUAAUAUGGUUCGGAUUCACCUUUGGCGAGAAUUGAACCUAAAACAUCUCACUUAUAAAUGAAAUGAAAUAACAUUAGACUAU
rnacentral:lncRNA from 1 species